rnacentral:lncRNA from 1 species
AUGUCCCUUUCCUCUCCUUCUCACCCAGUGCUCACCAUCUUGUGGCUUGGGCAGUCAGCCAGGGUGGUUUGGACUCAGGGCCCUCUUCCAGCCCCCUCGCUCUCUUUCUACCGCCCCCGUUUUGGCAGCAACAUCCAACUUUUCUCAGACGUGGAGCUGAUCUGCACACUUCCGACAAACGUUAGAUUGCCAAUAACUGUCUCUUUUAGCUGGGACAACCAAUCCCUCUCUGCAAUACAUUCCCUCACUAUACAAAACAGAGAUGAUGUCAGGUUCACCACGAAAGCCAUUGCAGCCAAUGAGGGGAUCUACGUAUGCUGGUACAAUGCCAGCAAUACUGGAGACGUGUCGGGGGAAAGCAAUCCAGUCAACCUUACCAUCUCCUCUCUUCCAGGGCCAAUUUUGGUGGUGCCCGCCUUCAUACCCAUCGGAGGAAACUACACCAUCAGCUGCCAAACUACCACCCGCUUCCCCAACAGAACCCUGGCCCUUUACUACAGACAGCUGCCUGUUACUGCGGGAAACGAGAUCUUUAAGUUUAUGGGGUCAGCGGCUCUUCUUGACAGCCACGAUUCCAUCACACUGACCAGGUGGCUAGUGGACAGCACAGAAAACUUCGAGGGUGUCUGCAGACUAGAGAUUGUGGACUUCAACCAGCAUAUUUACCUCUCUCCUCCUUCCAGUUCCCUCCCAGCUAUUGCAGAGGAGGCGCCUAUCCGUCUUGUGCCCCAGUAUCAGGGCUCCAAGUGCCUGGGACAACUGGAGGUGCAGGUCAGAGGCAGCUGGGGCCCUGUGUGCCAACAGAUAGAAAGCUGGAACCGGGCAAUGGGUAUCGUGGUUUGUCGAGAGCUGGGCUGUGGGACACUAUCUUCCGUCUCGACGAAGCAAGACUACAACCAUAAGGUUGACUUCUCCAUCGGUUCCAUAUUGUGCAGAGGAAGCGAGGGACGACUCAGGGAGUGUCAGAUUGAUGCGGUGCAGCCCCUUUGUAACUCAAGGAAGGGGGUGAAAAUGGUUUGCUCAGAUGCUCUGCCAACUACUAAGAUCUCAGUCACAGGCUACAGAGAGGUAUCGAGAGUCGACAUCAGUGAUGAGCACUCGUUGGAAUUGUCCUGCAUGUUCAAUGCCCCUUGGUUUGGUACGGAAAAGCUUUUCAUGGACUUGACGAGGGUCUCCAUAGAUUCGUACAUUAACACAAUCGACAACGUGCAAAUCGCCUCAGGAGAGGAGAUGAGGACCAUGCUUCAUGCGCCUGUCUUAUCAGGAGAGUAUGCCUGUAGAAUUAGAGGGUCUGAACAGACUGUGUCCUCAGUGAAGAUCUUCGUGAGCAAAUGGUACAAACCAAAUGUUGGACUCAUCAUCACGGCUCUCCUCACAACCGUAUCUGGAGCAGCCAUAUUACUGUAUAUGUGUGUCUAUCGUGUCCAGAAGGGGGAGACAGCAAAUGCUGUCACUUCUCAAGGGGUGUCCACAGCUGACCCAGAGGCCUCACCAGGAAUGGAUAGAGUGUCUAGAAACAUGCAGGAAGCCCCGCACGAAAAUCUCCAUACAAUCCCUAUGCAGUAAACUUUUUGUGUAUUUACAAUUAAAUAAAACGUAUGGGCCUGUCUGAAACGUCACCCUAAACCUUUUAUAUAAGGUAGUGUCCUACUUUCUACCAGUCAUGUGGCUCUGGUGAAGAAGUUAUGCACAGUAAAGGGACCCACUGGGCACACACUGGUUGAAUCAAUGUUGUUUCCAUGUCAUUUCAGUGAAAUUAUGUUGAACCAACGUGGAAUAAACGCUUAAUUUACGUCUGUGCCAGUGGGGAGUAGGGUGACAUUUGUAAUUUGCCCUAUAGGUGUUUCCUCACGAAACUAAAACAAAAAAAUACCAUGAUUUUGGGGAUUUUCACUAAAAUUACUCCACGAAGUGGGUUCUCUGCUAGUCGUAACGUCAUGGCCCAUUUUAUACAGAGAAAUUGGCUUGGUAGGCAAUGUAGCCAAUCACAGCCCUCCUUGGACAUCCUCAAAGCACCAACACAGAGGGCGACCAUUUUGUAUACAUUUUCACAUUCACUGUGUUGGUGAUGCUUACAAAUUGGAUCAUAACUUUAAAAGUAGCAGAGAUCCCACUCUUGAAUGUUGAAUGUUGAUAUGGCUGUAAAGCAUAUAUCAAAAAUGUGAUCUUUUCAAUAUGCACAUUUACAUUUUUCAAUAUUUAUACAUUUGUUAGAAAUGUGUUAUUGAAAUGAAAAUACUACUCAUAUUACAGAGCAAGGGGAGAAGCUUCACACCAACAAUUGCUUUAUAGCACCUACAGAUGAAACAUGGAGUCUUAAAGGAGGCCUGGGUUAGGCCAAAGUGUCAUAGAAUAUUCUAACUUCAAUGAAUUAUUUCCCAGUGUCAAAUAUAUGUCAAUCUUUCCUUCAACAGGUCCUUCUAUGGAUUAAAUGUUGUGAAAAUCAGUCUUUUUUUGUUCUAGUAGCAUGAGGAACCACUACUACAGUAUGUCUGUGAUUAUGCUUCUGCAAUGCAAUCUAAUAAGACUGUCUUGAGGACAGGAAGUCAUAAAUAGUUCAAACUCAAUUGUUGUAUAGGAAAUGAACGUGAGAUAAAACAGUGUCUUAACUUUGGAUGUUGCCUUUAAUUAUGUGUUUGAUGUGUCCCUUCAUAAGACAAUGACCGGUAACUAACUGGGUUUUUGAGUGCUUGUUUAUUCGGCAAAUGAUCAGUAUUUUAUUCAGACGAAUAAUCAGUUAUCAGUUUAAUGUGGUUGAAUACUCUGAAAUUCCAAAAUGCUCAACAUUGUAGUUUCAUUUGAUCAAAGGAUGUGCUAGAUGGUGCCAGAGAUGCAUGUGAAGCACACACAAUUCAGAAAAAAGACAACAAAAAUUAAAAUAAAUGUAAGAGACAGCAGGCAGUGAUUAUAGAUCUCAGAUUCAUUUUAUUUUUUAUGUUAAAAAGUCAAUUGACACAAAUGAUGUAGGUUGUUGAGAAAACCUUGACAAAUAAAUCUGGUCGCAACAUCGUUUCAUUCCAAUGGUCAUAAAAAGCUAAACCAAGCACAGAAGAAAACUAUUUACAGGAAACCUCUCUAAAAUGUAAACCUCUGACAACAAUGUAUUUCCUUUAGAGUUAUGCGAGUGAAGAUUGACUACAGGCUCUUCUGUAUGGCUACUUCAGUACACUAUGAAAGAGACAGGUCAUGUGUUCGUAACAAGGCCUAUUUUUGUUUACGAGAACACAUGACAUAAUCGCUUUCAUAUCAUUCAUAAAUCACCUUAAAGAAAUAUGAGGGUAUUCCCACAAGGGUGGGAGUGUUUUCUACGUUCAGCUGCCAAAUCAGCAAGUGUCCAUAGUUGAUUGAUUAUGUCCAUGGCACUGCCGCCUAUGAGUGUGACGCUAGAACAAUAUGCCCAACAACCACUGAUGCAUUUAGAUGCAACAUACAAGCUGACAAAGAUACAAGGAGGAUCCCGAGCAAGCUUUCUUUAUAGCUGGUUUAAACUUUUCCCUCAAGAGUUUACUCUUUUUUUUCUCUUUUUUUUUCUUCCCAUUCCUUAUUCGUCAGUGCAGAAAGAUAGGAAUGUAGGCCUUGUUAAACAUGGUGAAGAGGACAUGUGAAUGAGGGGAGAACAGCUAUUGAUCCUGGAUGAACACAGUGAUAGAUUCAUUGUUUUCCAGCGAAUCACUGUCAAGGUAGUAUAAUUCAAUGUCCCUAUUCUUAUUUCUCUGUCCUGGGAGGGAUUGAAAAAGAAACGUAAAUACAUGUCAUUAAUCUCAUUGCCAAUCAGGUUCGCUAGACAUUCCCCCAUCACUUUUAACUCAACAGGGAUAUUACUGUGUCUAAGAGUACUGCGUACUACAGUGGAU